UCCACCUCAACCUUAGGAUUAUCUUUUUUUUUUUAGAUUUCCUCCAUUCGUCAACUUUUGAAACCCAACCCAACUCAUUUUUUACAUUUCGCCCAUCAUCUCAACCAGUUUUGGUCCUACAACUUAACCAAUUUUGGCCCAAAUCCAACUUAUUUUCUAUUUUUUUGUACCUUUGGCCUGAGGGCCUUGCUGGCCCCAUCAGGCUUAACAGGCCCGUGCCGGCCCG
rnacentral:lncRNA from 1 species